rnacentral:rRNA from 1 species
CCUACGGGAGGCUGCAGUGAGGAAUAUUGGUCAAUGGGCGCGAGCCUGAACCAGCCAAGUCGCGUGAGGGAGGACGGCCCUACGGGUUGUAAACCUCUUUUGCCGGGGAGCAACGGGCGCCACGUGUGGCGUCACUGAGAGUACCCGGAGAACAAGCAUAGGCUAACUCCGGUCCAGCAGCCGCGGUAAUACGGUGCAUGCGAGCGUUAUCCGGAUUUAUUGGGUUUAAAGGGGGCGCAGGCGGCGUGUCAAGUCAGCGGUAAAAUGGCGGGGCUCAACCCCGGCCGGCCGUUGAAACUGGCGUGCUCGAGUUGGAGAGAAGUAUGCGGAAUUCGUGGUGUAGCGGUGAAAUGCAUAGAUAUCACGAAGAACCCCGAUUGCGAAGGCAGCAUACCGGCUCCACACUGACGCUGAGGCACGAAAGCGUGGGUAUCGAACAGGAUUAGAUACCCGAGUAGUC